CCUACGGGUGGCAGCAGUGGGGAAUAUUGGACAAUGGGCGAAAGCCUGAUCCAGCCAUGCCGCGUGUGUGAAGAAGGCCUUCGGGUUGUAAAGCACUUUCAGUGGGGAAGAAAGCCUUGGGGCUAAUACCCUCGAGGAAGGACAUCACCCACAGAAGAAGCACCGGCUAACUCCGUGCCAGCAGCCGCGGUAAUACGGAGGGUGCGAGCGUUAAUCGGAAUUACUGGGCGUAAAGCGCGCGUAGGCGGUCUGAUAAGCCGGUUGUGAAAGCCCCGGGCUCAACCUGGGAACGGCAUCCGGAACUGUCAGGCUUGAGUGCAGGAGAGGAAGGUAGAAUUCCCGGUGUAGCGGUGAAAUGCGUAGAGAUCGGGAGGAAUACCAGUGGCGAAGGCGGCCUUCUGGACUGACACUGACGCUGAGGUGCGAAAGCGUGGGUAGCAAACAGGAUUAGAUACCCCUGUAGUC
rnacentral:rRNA from 1 species